rnacentral:rRNA from 1 species
GAUGAACGCUGGCGGCGUGCCUAAUACAUGCAAGUCGAGCGAACAGAUGAGGAGCUUGCUCCUCUGACGUUAGCGGCGGACGGGUGAGUAACACGUGGAUAACCUACCUAUAAGACUGGGAUAACUUCGGGAAACCGGAUCUAAUACCGGAUAAUAUAUUGAACCGCAUGGUUCAAUAGUGAAAGACGGUUUUGCUGUCACUUAUAGAUGGAUCCGCGCCGCAUUAGCUAGUUGGUAAGGUAACGGCUUACCAAGGCAACGAUGCGUAGCCGACCUGAGAGGGUGAUCGGCCACACUGGAACUGAGACACGGUCCAGACUCCUACGGGAGGCAGCAGUAGGGAAUCUUCCGCAAUGGGCGAAAGCCUGACGGAGCAACGCCGCGUGAGUGAUGAAGGUCUUCGGAUCGUAAAGCUCUGUUAUUAGGGAAGAACAAAUGCGUAAGUAACUAUGCACGUCUUGACGGUACCUAAUCAGAAAGCCACGGCUAACUACGUG